rnacentral:misc_RNA from 1 species
AAGGAGUCUAACACAUAUGCGAGUAUUUGGGUGUUAAACCAAAGAUGCGCAAUGAAAGUAUUAAGGUGGGAUCUUCGGUGCACCAACGACCGGUCUGGAUAUUUUUAUAAAGAUCUGAGUAAGAGCAUAUUUGUUAGGACCCGAAAGAUGGUGAACUAUGCCUGAGUAGGGCGAAGCCAGAGGAAACUCUGGUGGAAGCUCGUAGGGGUACUAACGUGCAAAUCGAUCCUCAAAUUUGGGUAUAGGGGCGAAAGACUAAUCGAACUAUCUAGUAGCUGGUUCCCUC